rnacentral:rRNA from 1 species
UACGUAGGGUGCAAGCGUUGUCCGGAAUUAUUGGGCGUAAAGAGCUCGUAGGCGGUCUGUCGCGUCUGCUGUGAAAACUCAGGGCUUAACCCUGAGCUUGCAGUGGGUACGGGCAGACUAGAGUGCGGUAGGGGAGACUGGAAUUCCUGGUGUAGCGGUGAAAUGCGCAGAUAUCAGGAGGAACACCGGUGGCGAAGGCGGGUCUCUGGGCCGUAACUGACGCUAAGGCGCGAAAGCGUGGGGAGCGAACAGG